rnacentral:rRNA from 1 species
UACAGAGGGUGCAAGCGUUGUUCGGAAUUAUUGGGCGUAAAGGGCGCGUAGGCGGUUUGCACAGUUGGGCGUGAAAUUCCUGGGCUUAACCUGGGGGCUGCGUUCAAUACGUGUAGGCUUGAGUUCGGAAGAGGGUCGUGGGAAUUCCCAGUGUAGAGGUGAAAUUCGUAGAUAUUGGGAAGAACACCGGGUGGCGAAGGCGGCGACCUGGUCCGAUACUGACGCUGAGGCGCGAAAGCGUGGGGAGCAAACAGG